CCAAGUUCAGAUAACCCCUUCUUCCUAUAAAACCAAAGCAAGGCCAAACUACUCCGCCUCUUGUUUCGCCGAACCCCAAACCCUAGCUUCGCUCGUUGCGGCGGCGAGCCGGCGAUGGCGAAGUCUCUGCGAUCCAAACGCGAGAAGCGGCUUCGGACGUUGCGCCGGGAGAUAGCGGAGCCGUUCUACGACAAGAAGGAGGCCGCCAAGCUCGCCGCGCAGGCCGCCGCCCUAGCUGCUGCCCCGCUCCCGGUCCGCGGGCCCCCGCCAUCCCAGGAUGCCGGCAGCUCCCGCGCAGCUAGCUCGGCCUCGGCUAUGGAUGUGGAGAUGUCUGAUGCAGGGAACAACAGGUCUAAGACCUUCUUGAGGCCACUUGGCAGCAUUAGCAAGAAGAGGUGCAGCUUCAUUUGAAGAUCAAGAAAGACAAGAGAAAAGCUAGGAAGAAGGGAAAGUUUUCUUUUAAGAAGUAGAGGAGUGUAUGAUAAAUCAUGCAGUUUGUUCCCAGUUUGUAAAACAAACGCACUGCAGUCAUGUCAUGUGGUGCACCUACCUAAGUCCAUUCGUGGGUGACCUACUAUUAAAUAUGUUGAAAUGGGUACGAAAAAAGGAUAGUGCUGACCUAUCAGCUGUUUCUGUUCUGCGGGUAUAAAUGUCAAGUACUCAAAUUGCUGAGAUUUGGUUUCAUUUUCACAUUGUAUCGUGGUGAACCAUGUUUGGAAACAAUGGCCUUGUUUGGCACAGCUGCUGCUUGUUGAAAAACUGGUAAAAAGCAGCUUCUGUU